GACGACGGGUAGCCGGCCUGAGAGGCCGACCGGCCACACUGGGACUGAGACACGACCAAAAUUCAUACGGGAGGAAGCAGUGGGGAAUAUUGCACAAUGGGGGAAACCCUGAUGCAGCGACGCAGCGUGCGGGAUGACGGCCUUCGGGUUGUAAACCGCUUUCAGCAGGGAAGAAGCGAAAGUGACGGUACCUGCAGAAGAAGUACCGGCUAACUACGUGCCAGCAGCCGCGGUAAUACGUAGGGUACGAGCGUUGUCCGGAAUUAUUGGGCGUAAAGAGCUCGUAGGUGGUUGGUCACGUCUGCUGUGGAAACGCAACGCUUAACGUUGCGCGUGCAGUGGGUACGGGCUGACUAGAGUGCAGUAGGGGAGUCUGRAAUUCCUGGUGUAGCGGUGAAAUGCGCAGAUAUCAGGAGGAACAACCGGUGGCGAAGGCGGGACUCUGGGCUGUAACUGACACUGAGGAGCGAAAGCAUGGGGAGCGAACAGGAUUAGAUACCCUGGUAGUACAUGCCGUAAACGUUGGGCACUAGGUGUGGGGGACAUUCCACGUUCUCCGCGCCGUAGCUAACGCAUUAAGUGCCCCGCCUGGGGAGUACGGUCGCAAGGCUAAAACUCAAAGGAAUUGACGGGGGCCCGCACAAGCGGCGGAGCAUGCGGAUUAAUUCGAUGCAACGCGAAGAACCUUACCAAGGCUUGACAUACACUGGACCGUUCUGGAAACAGUUCUUCUCUUUGGAGCUGGUGUACAGGUGGUGCAUGGUUGUCGUCAGCUCGUGUCGUGAGAUGUUGGGUUAAGUCCCGCAACGAGCGCAACCCUCGUUCUAUGUUGCCAGCACGUGAUGGUGGGAACUCAUAGGAGACUGCCGGGGUCAACUCGGAGGAAGGUGGGGAUGACGUCAAAUCAUCAUGCCCUUUAUGUCUUGGGCUUCACGCAUGCUACAAUGGCUGGUACAGAGAGAGGCGAACCCGUGAGGGUAAGCGAAUCCCUUAAAGCCAGUCUCAGUUCGGAUCGUAGUCUGCAAUUCGACUACGUGAAGUCGGAGUCGCUAGUAAUCGCAGAUCAGCAACGCUGCGGUGAAUACGUUCCCGGGCCUUGUACACACCGCCCGUCAAGUCACGAAAGUCGGUAACA
rnacentral:rRNA from 1 species